AGUGGAUGGGGAGCAACAAAAGUUGUGUGUGUGUAAAGGUAGUGCCAAGAAAAGCUGAGUUGAUGUUGAACAAAAGAUUCCGGUACCCGAAACCGACACAGGUAGGCAAGAAGAGAAUACUAAGGGGCGCGAGGUAACUCUCUCCAAGGAACUCGGCAAAAUGACCCCGUAACUUCGGGAGAAGGGGUGCCACCGAGAGGUGGUCGCAGUGAAGAGUCCCAGGCGACUGUUUAGCAAAAACAUAGGUCUCUGCAAACUCGAAAGAGGAGGUAUAGGGGCUGACGCCUGCCCAGUGCCGGAAGGUUAAAGAAGUUGGUCAGUCGAAAGAUGAAGCUAACGACUGAAGCCCCGGUGAACGGCGGCCGUAACUAUAACGGUCCUAAGGUAGCGAAAUUCCUUGUCGGGUAAGUUCCGACCCGCACGAAAGGCGUAACGAUCUGGGAGCUGUCUCGGAGAGAGGCUCGGCGAAAUAGGAUUGUCUGUGAAGAUACGGACUACCUGCAUUUGGACAGAAAGACCCUAUGAAGCUUUACUGUAGCUUGGAAUUGUGUUCGAGCUUGCUGUGCGCAGGAUAGGUGGGAGGCUAUGAAGGUAUGCUUGUGGGUGUACUGGAGCCGUCAGUGAGAUACCACUCUCAGGGGGCUAGAAUUCUAACUAAAGAAAGGACAGUUUCAGGUGGGCAGUUUGACUGGGGCGGUCGCCUCCAAAAAGGUAACGGAGGCGUACAAAGGUUCCUUCAGACUGGUUGGAAAUCAGUCGCAGAGUGCAAAGGCAGAAAGGAGCUUGACUGCGAGAAUUACAGUUCGAGCAGGGUGGAAACACGGUCUUAGUGAUCCGACGGUGCUGUGUGGAAGGGCCGUCGCUCAACGGAUAAAAGUUACUCUAGGAUAACAGGCUGAUCUCCCCCAAGAGUUCACAUCGACGGGGAGGUUUGGCACCUCGAUGUCGGCUCAUCGCAACCUGGGGCGGAAGUACGUCCCAAGGGUUGGGCUGUUCGCCCAUUAAAGCGGUACGUGAGCUGGGUUCAGAACGUCGUGAGACAGUUCGGUCCAUAUCCGAUGUAGGCGAGAGAAUAUUGAGAGGAGCCUUCCUUAGUACGAGAGGACCGGGAAGGACGCACCGCUGGUGUACCUGUUAUGAUGCCAAUUGUAAACGCAGGGUAGCCAAGUGCGGAGAGGAUAACCGCUGAAAGCAUCUAAGUGGGAAGCCCACCUCAAGAUGAGUAUUCUGUGUUAAGGUCACGGGAAGACGACCCGUAAAUAGGCACGAGGUGGAAGUGCAGUAAUGUAUGAAGCCGAAGUGUACUAAUAGACCGUCAGCUUGAUC
rnacentral:rRNA from 1 species